rnacentral:rRNA from 1 species
GGAGUUGUGUUAACCAAAGACAACCUCGCACGAUGCAACUGGCAAGGGAGUAAGAAGUGUUGUUUUUGUACUCAUGACGAGACAAUCAAACACCUCUUUUUUCAAUGCAAAUUUACACGUUCUACGUGGUCAGUCAUCCAAAUAGCGUCAAAUUUGUAUUCGCCCACAAGUGUUGCCAAUAUUUUUGUUCAUUGGUUGGACGCUAUUGCAAAUAGGUUCAAAACGCUAAUAAGGAUGGGAGCGUAUGCCUUAAUGUGGUCGCUAUGGCUAUAUAGAAAUGAUUUUUUUUAA